AAAUAAAAAAUAAAAAUAAAAAUCAGCACCUUCAGAAAACACACAAAGAGAGUUCAUUUAUCUAAAACUUAGCAGCAAAGUAAGAGGAGAGCUAUGAAUACCUGAUUUUCAUGAAGCCUCAAUAGAUACUUUGGGAUUUUGAAUUCGAAUAGAAAGGAUCAAAUAGAUGCAUUUCCAAAAACUAAAUGGAAAAAUAAAUUGUCUCAAUGUGUACUUUCAGGAGAAUGAUGUAUCCGACUUAAGAUUACUGACCCAGAUU